rnacentral:rRNA from 1 species
GGAUUAAAGGGUGGCCGCAAGGCUGCCGCUGCGGGAUUGGUUCGCGUUCUAUCAGCUUGUUGGCAGGGUAACGGCCCACCAAGGCUACGACGGAUACCUGGUCUGAGAGGGCGAUCAGGCACACUGGAACUGAGACACGGUCCAGACACCUACGGGUGGCAGCAGUCGAGAAUAAUUCACAAUGGGGGCAACCCUGAUGGUGCAACGCCGCGUGGAGGAUGAAGGUCUUCGGAUUGUAAACUCCUGUCAUCCGGGAGCAAGACCUGACGGUGAAAAGCCGGCAGGGUUGAUAGUACCCGGAAGAGGAAGGGACGGCUAACUUCGUGCCAGCAGCCCGCGGUAAUACCAAAGGUCCCGAGCGUUGUUCGGAAUCACUGGGCGUAAAGGGAGCGUAGGCGGUGCGGUAAGUCAGAUGUGAAAUCCCGGGGCUCAACCCCGGAACUGCAUCCGAUACUGCCGUGCUUGAAUGAUGGAGAGGUAGCUGGAAUUCACGGUGUAAC